rnacentral:misc_RNA from 1 species
GAAAAUAAAGGGUUGUCUGCUGGCCUCUCGGGGCGCGUGCACGCCCAAAUCCACAACACACCUGUGAACCCACCGUAGGCCCUCGGGCUUAUGUAUUAUCAUAUACUCUGAUCAUAGAAUGUAAAAAUUUUGCCUUAAAAACGCAAUGAAAUACAACUUUCAACAACGGAUCUCUUGGCUCU